GACGAACGCUGGCGGCGUGCUUAACACAUGCAAGUCGAACGGAAAGGCCCUGCUUUUGUGGGGUGCUCGAGUGGCGAACGGGUGAGUAACACGUGAGUAACCUGCCCUUGACUUUGGGAUAACUUCAGGAAACUGGGGCUAAUACCGGAUAGGAGCUCCUGCUGCAUGGAGGGGGUGGGAAAGUUUCGGCGGUGGGGGAUGGACUCGCGGCUUAACAGCUUGUUGGUGGGGGAGUGGCUUACCAAGGCUGUGACGGGUAGCCGGCCUGAGAGGGUGACCGGCGACAUGAGGCCUGAGAUACGGCCCAGACGCCAACGGGGGGCAGCGGGGGCGAGUAUUGCCCAGUGGGCGCGAGCCGGUGGAGGAGGCCCCCGGGUCGGGAUGACGUCUUUCGGGUAGUAAACCGCUUUCGCUUGUGACGAAGCGGGAGUGACGGUACCGGAUAAAGAAGCACCGGCUAACUUCGUG
rnacentral:rRNA from 1 species